rnacentral:rRNA from 1 species
GAUGAACGCUGGCGGCGUGCCUAAUACAUGCAAGUCGAGCGAACAGAUGAGGAGCUUGCUCCUCUGACGUUAGCGGCGGACGGGUGAGUAACACGUGGAUAACCUACCUAUAAGACUGGGAUAACUUCGGGAAACCGGAGCUAAUACCGGAUAAUAUAUUGAACCGCAUGGUUCAAUAGUGAAAGACGGUUUUGCUGUCACUUAUAGAUGGAUCCGCGCCGCAUUAGCUAGUUGGUAAGGUAACGGCUUACCAAGGCAACGAUGCGUAGCCGACCUGAGGGGGUGAUCGGCCACACUGGAACUGAGACACGGUCCAGACUCCUACGGGAGGCAGCAGUAGGGAAUCUUCCGCAAUGGGCGAAAGCCUGACGGAGCAACGCCGCGUGAGUGAUGAAGGUCUUCGGAUCGUAAAACUCUGUCAUUAGGGAAGAACAAAUGUGUAAGUAACUAUGCACGUCUUGACGGUACCUAAUCAGAAAGCCACGGCUAACUACGUG